UGGCUUCUGGAGUCUUCUAGAUGGUAGAAAAUUGCGCGGUGCGUUGAUAUCUCUAUGUAGUCCUGACAUGUGGGUCUUUCUUCCUUACUUCCUAAUAACCCCCUACAGAAAUAGAUAAACAACAAAACUCGUGGAAUUCUGUCAGAUCAAACCCUAAUUCUAGGUGUUGUUUGUAUAUUGGUCCUUUCUCUUGUUUAUUUGAUAAUUAAAAUUGAUACUUAAGAACCGUCAAUAAAUACCCCCAUACUUAGGCUUUUACUCGUCCUCGAGAAAAGGAUGGUUAAGAACAAUAUCUGGGGUAAAACAUUUUUAAAAUAUUCUCUUCAUAACUGCAGGGUGUUAAAAUCCAAUGUGAACUAUAGUCAGGGAAGUAUAUGGUUUAGAGUAGAGAUCCUUUCUUCUCAAUCCUAUCACUUGGAGUUUUUGUAUAUUUUUGAAAGAAAGUUAGCAUACCUUUUAUCCUCAUAGGUCUUCUCAGAUCACUCAUUAUCUUUUAUAUAUCUUACUGAGGCUUUAAUUUGCAAAAAUUCUCAAGCAUACUUACCUUGUAUUUAUUGCCUGAUCAAAAUGGGAUCUGAGGAGGGGAAUGUCAUACUCUUAGAUCAAAGACUUUGGAAAUUAAAAUCUUUGUCAACUCUUGCUGGCAUAUUGCUUAUUAGAGGGACCAUGGGCUAUCAUUUUCUUUUUUCUUCUCUUUUUUUAAGUGGAUACCGAGGUACCCCUAAUUCUACUGCUGGACACUUGUCCUUUUUUUCUGCGAGGUUAUCGAGCACUUGCUCCUUUUUAGUUCCUCGAAAUAUCUUUAUUUUUUGCAUAGCCCAUGCCUCUAAUGCAAUAAUACUUCGGAAGAGUGAAUCUUUCUGAAUAAAUGUCUUGAUCUUAGGAGCAUGAUAAAUCUCUCAACAAGGGUCUAACUCAUUUUGAACAAACUCAAUACAGAGUAGAUAGCUUUUAUAAUCAUAAUUAAUAUUUUCAGUUUUUAUCAGGCAUAUAAAACACUGAGGAUGGUAGCUAGAAUUUUGAAGAUUUGAAAUAAAUUCUCCAAGCAACAAUGAUAUCAAGAAUAAGAAACUCAUACUCUACCAUAUUCUAUACUGACUUUAAGUAACACAGGGUUUUAAAAUGAUUUUAUAAUAGUUGCAAGUUUUCAGGAAAUAUCACAGAGUGAGAUUAACCAUGAUUAGAAACAUUUUAAUCUUUAUCAUGUCAGAAACAAUAUUCUGCAUAAUCCAAGAUAUGUGUAUGUGUAAAGUAAAGUGUGCAGAGUAUGUACCUGAAUUGUGGAGUGGUGUCGUCGAAGUGUGUUUGGCGUGUCGAGGGAUCUCCCCCAUACUUGUUUUCUGCUUUCUUACACAAAAAUAAAGUAGACAUACAAGACAUAAUAAUAAUAAUACUCUUUAUUAAUCUUGAGGCAUUUAUUACAAAUAACUAGUAGCAAACUGAUGAUAAUAGUAAACCUAAACCGACUUUAAAGAUAGAUAACUAAGAUGCAUUGC
rnacentral:lncRNA from 1 species